UAAUAACAUCGGUAAAUGGUUUGCAAGCAGCAUUCCAUGAUUUUGCAGUCCCAAGAAAGAUUAAAAAAAUUUUAAUAUUAUAGGACAAUUCCUGAGCAUAAUGCCUUUUCGCAAAGCAAAAGGGCAAAAGGAAUACUCGUUCACAGUCCAUCUCGAUUAUGUCGAUCUUCAUAAAAGGUCAUCACUUGACAUGGAUAAUGUAAUUCUCUCGUAUUCUUUCAAAAGGUACAAUUAGUUCGUUACACACAAAUUUCUCAUUCGGUAUAUAUAACUAAUUCAAUUAUUUCCUUGUCACAUAACAAAAAGUAGGUUUCUUUUUUCCGUAGAUCAAAUAGCAUUUGUAAAACACUUUUCGAAGCUUUACAGUGCACUUCAGUGCUGCUCUAUACAGCUAUAAUGUGGUAUACGUGGCAAUUAUUAAUUUUAUAUACUUUUUCGCUGUAUAUCUGGCAGGCGAAUGGUGCGUGCUGUCGCUCAACCUCAAUGACUUAUUUUCUAAAAAAUAGUCACAGUACGACUUGUGCGGAUAUCGCUGGAGGGAGCCAAGUUCACUUUUGGAACAAAGAUGAGUGCCAAGCUAAAGUCUGUCAGGAUCUCUCAAAUUCGACACCCUGUUGUGGGGUAGGCAGAUGCAACUUUUUCUGCUGCAACUGUAAUCGCGGAUGCAGGAAAGCUAAAAUUACUGUUUUGGAUGAUUUUAAGGCAGAGUAUGGCCAUAAAACAGUAUUUACACAUCAACAACAAGAAUUGCCAUUUUUUAAUGAAAAAGAAAGUAUCAGCAACCCCGAGCCCAAAAAAAAAGAGUAAGAUUAUUUAGCAAAGCUUCUCAAAAUCUUUUUAAUUUAUUGUGUUUCAUUUAAGAAUAACACUUCAUGGGUAUAUAAUGAUAUAAUAAAAUUUUUAAUAUUUUGGUACCACGGCAA